rnacentral:lncRNA from 1 species
AGAGUAGUUGAUAUUUUGAUAAUCAAUCUCUGAUCUUGCAUGGAUACCAUGUUUCUUAAAAGAAUUAGUAUUUUGGGUUAUGCACUGCUUAUGGUUGUAGGAUUGGGGACUUGUUUAUAGAAUCAUAGAAAUGAUUUUCUAUAAUACUUUCUUUUAAAUAAAAAUGUACUGGGAUGUAAUAUGAAGAUAUAAUAUAAUAUGCAGUGCAUUAUCCAAAAAAAGUAGAUAAUUGGUGGAAUAGGAUGUAGUGAUGAUAAUACCUUUUUGUUUUUAAUUUUCAGUAUUCAUGCCAUAGUAAAAUAUUACUGUUUGGAAACUUUGGUAUAUUCUUGUGGCUACUCUUUUUAAUUGAACUGAGCUUGUGUUGGGCAGCUCUCUUUUGGGGUAUGCUUGUGUACUUUUUAACAGAGGUGUUAAAGUCUAGCCUGACUCCAUGUCCUGAAAGAACAUAACAGUAUUUAAGAUAUUAUUUUUUUUAGCCUCUCAUGUCUAGUUGGCAUUAAAAAGACCCUGAUACUUCACUAUACUUGAAUCCCUAAUGCACCUCAGUCUUUGAAUUUUUGAGACACACUGAACACACUAAAAUCUGUAGCAAUAGAAAAAAUAAAACAUUUAACUUGAACCAAGCAAGAAAAUACAGAUAUAGUUGAAUGCAUUAAUUAUGAACAUAAUCAUGUUAAAAUUGUUACUAUGCAGCACAGGACUUCAUUCUUAUAGUAUACUUGGAUUGAAACUUUGAAUCAUUUUUAAUAACUGAUUAAAUGCCUCAAAGACACUUGUAAAGUCAUAGUACUAUUGUUUUGGAAGUCAUUAGCAGACCUCAGAUUGCAGAAUAAUGAGUAUGUUGUAUGCAAUUUGAUUUUAAGGAAGGGGUAGUCUGUUGGAUUAUAUUAUUUGAUACUAAAAAAUCAGCUGGGUGUAAAUGGUUAAAUCAUUUUUAUUCUUCCCCCCAAAUUUGGAGUUAAAAUGAGUUUCAUCCUAGAGGUAGGAAGGUAAAUUCUCCUAUUUAUGAAAGAAGCUUUGUGUGAUGCUAGGUAUAACUCAGCUUCAUCCAGAUGGUGUUUACAUUUGAUUUAUUUGGGGCUUUGUUGAAGUAAUAUACUUGGAAGAUAUUUCUUUUACUCUGAUGAAAAUAGGAUUCAGAGUAUGAAUUUAAAGCUGUUUUUAUGAAUAUUUCUGAUCAGUGAUAAUCUCUACCUACUUUCUCAACCAAAUAAGCCCAUUCAAGUUUUUUAGAGCCUAUAAUCUUACUGAAAAAUGUUUCAUCAGUAUGCUUUGUUGAGCGUGGAUUUUACAAAUAUUCAAAACAUUAACCACAAAAUACAACAAAAGCACUUAGGUCUGUCAUUAUCUUUCAAGUUCCUUUUGUUUCUCCUUAAACUACAGAUGAAAACUUUAUCAUAGAGACUUUUGAAGAAUACUGAGAUAUCAAUACUUUUCUUCAAGAAUUAUGAAUGCUUCUCUCUCUUCUGUAGAAAUCCUCUAUUGCUAAGUAGCAAAGAAUAAUUACAACCAACAGUACCUUUUUUUUUUUUGUUUGGAUGGCGGAAGUGUUGUUUUAAAUUCCAGUUAUUUGGGUUAAUACAAGCUUAUAAAGAGAAAAAUGUUUUUUAAAAACAUAAAUGUGCAUUAAAAUGAUGGCACUGCUUAACAGUUUGAUAAGGUAGAGGAGUUUUUAAUUCUUAUAAUCUCUAUUCUCUUAACAACUAUUAGUAAAUAGUCACAUUUGCACUCAGUAAAAGAUUGGCAUUUGUUAGUGGUUUAUAUUUGAUAUUAGUAUUACCCAGUAUCACAAUCAUGAAAUGGUCUUCACAUUGUAAGGAGCCACGUCAGUUUUCAGUUUGUAGUAUUGUUUUGGCUAUUUUAUUUCAAACGAAAGUUUGAACACUGGAAAAUCAUUGCUCAGUGGUGUUUAAUUUGGAACUUGGAUUAUUUAUCUAAGGAUGUCUGUAUAUUUUGUCAAUGAGUACUAUUGCGCUGCCAUUAUGGUGAUUGUCAUGGUUCUAUAUAAAUGCCCUCCAUCUGUCCCUCUACUGUUGCAUGUUUUCGGUGGUUUGGAAGUUUUGUAUAUUUAUUGUAUUAACACAGAGUGUCAUAAAAUAAAAUGCUGUUUACUGGAUGUUUGUUUGUGUAAUUUUAAAUACUGUAUUAGCACUUCAGAGGCAGUAAUUAUACAGAGGACUCAAUGUAUAUAGAAAUACCACAUUUGAUUUUUUAAAAUGACAUGACAGUUCUUCUGUUGGUUUAGACCUUUGUAGGUAGUGGAACAUGAGAUUCACUAGUUAAAUAGUUCGACCACUGUAAGGUCAAAAUACGCAGACUAGAAGCUAGAUUGAAAACAGAAAACCCGUGUUGUGGCCCAGACCUCCCCUGCGGGCUCACAUGGACGCCUCUGUUCUAGUAUUGUGUUGACGCGAUUGGGCUUGUUUUCUGUUCCCUAAACUCACUACCUGUUGUUGUUUUAUGUACUGAUGAAAGUACCAAUUUGUGUAUUGUUGGAUUUUUCAUCUGAUUAUCUAAAGAGGAUAUAAAAAAUAUAGUCUAAAAAAAGUGUUCAUGGUGAAUCUCAUUUGAGAAAUUCAUGUUAAAUUAAAAUAGGAACAGCAUUUUAGUUUUCUGGGUGUUACCUAAAAGUGACUUUGGACUUUCACUGGAUAUAGGCCUUUUGUAAAUCAUGUUGAUACAAUGUAUGGUUUGCA